ensembl:lncRNA
GGUCAUUCAAUCGCAAAGCGCGUAUCUAACCUCAAUUGUUUUGCUAUUAUAUUAUUUUGUUUGGCUAAUAAUGCCUACCAGUUGUGCUGCGCACGGUUGUGCGAAUAAUUUCAUACGGGAGAUUGGGAAUUGCAUUUUUUUUAGGAUUCCAAAAGUGAUCACAGCUCAAGGUGAGCGGGCGCGUGAGUUGACCGAGGAGCAACUUGGAUUUCGAUCUACCGGGGCGACAUGGCACAAAUAAAUCUCGCCAACACUCAUAUUUGUGGUAAUCACUUCAUAACUGUUCAGGCCAUUCCUGAGAAGCUCACCCAACGUCUACUCGUGUCUGGCCCCUCUGUCGGUCUGUAGUGCCGUAAAGCAAUUCGUUACUUCACGAGACCCAAGACAUUUUCCCUUUUUCCGCCAAGAUGCGCUAGGGGGAGUCAAAACAGCCACCAAUCUACCAAUAAAGUGUAAAAAGUGCAAAAGCUGCAUAGUUCCACUUUAAUGGUUUCAUAAUGUAUUUUUGUAUAACUGGACUAUUAUCACUGCAUUACUGUUUAUUAUAACUGUUACUAUUGAUAGUUAAAGCC